rnacentral:rRNA from 1 species
UACGUAGGGGGCAAGCGUUGUCCGGAAUCAUUGGGCGUAAAGCGCGUGUAGGCGGCUCGAUAAGUCCGCUCUGAAAGUCCAGGGCUCAACCCUGGGAUGCGGGUGGAUACUGUCGGGCUCGAGUCCGGAAGAGGCGAGUGGAGUUCCUGGUGUAGCGGUGAAAUGCGCAGAUAUCAGGAGGAACACCAAUGGCGAAGGCAGCUCGCUGGGACGUGACUGACGCUGAGACGCGAAAGCGUGGGGAGCAAACAGG